UACAGAGGGUGCGAGCGUUAAUCGGAUUUACUGGGCGUAAAGCGUGUGUAGGUGGUUGGAAAAGUCGAUUGUGAAAUCCCCGGGCUCAACCUGGGAACUGCUUUCGAUACUGUCUGACUAGAAUUCGGUAGAGGGAGGCGGAACUCCAGGUGUAGCGGUGAAAUGCGUAGAGAUCUGAAGGAACAUCAGUGGCGAAGGCGACUCACUGGGCCAUUACUGACACUGAGGUGCGAAAGCGUGGGUAGCAAACAGG
rnacentral:rRNA from 1 species